AAAACGACUCUCGGCAACGGAUAUCUCGGCUCUCGCAUCGAUGAGAACGUAGCAAACUGCGAUACUUGGUGUGAAUUGCAGAAUCCCGUGAACCAUCGAGUUUUUGAACGCAAGUUGCGCCCGAAGCCAAUAGGCCGAGGGCACGUCUGCAUGGGCGUCACGC
rnacentral:rRNA from 1 species